rnacentral:rRNA from 1 species
UACGUAGGGUGCAGGCGUUAAUCGGAAUUACUGGGCGUAAAGCGUGCGCAGGCGGUCUUUUAAGUCAGAUGUGAAAUCCCCGGGCUUAACCUGGGAACUGCGUUUGAAACUGGAAGGCUAGAGUGUGGCAGAGGGGGGUGGAAUUCCACGUGUAGCAGUGAAAUGCGUAGAGAUGUGGAGGAACACCGAUGGCGAAGGCAGCCCCCUGGGCUGAGAUUGACGCUCAGGCACGAAAGCGUGGGGAGCAAACAGG